rnacentral:rRNA from 1 species
AGUGAACGCUGGCGGUAGGCCUAACACAUGCCAGUCGAACGGCAGCACAGUAAGAGCUUGCUCUUACGGGUGGCGAGUGGCGGACGGGUGAGGAAUACAUCGGAAUCUACUUUUUCGUGGGGAAUAACGUAGGGAAACUUACGCUAAUACCGCAUACGACCUACGGGUGAAAGCAGGGGAUCUUCGGACCUUGCGCGAUUGAAUGAGCCGAUGUCGGAUUAGCUAGUUGGCGGGGUAAAGGCCCACCAAGGCGACGAUCCGUAGCUGGUCUGAGAGGAUGAUCAGCCACACUGGAACUGAGACACGGUCCAGACUCCUACGGGAGGCAGCAGUGGGGAAUAUUAGACAAUGGGCGCAAGCCUGAUCCAGCCAUACCGCGUGGGUGAAGAAGGCCUUCGGGUUGUAAAGCCCUUUUGUUGGGAAAGAAAAGCAGCAGGUUAAUACCCCGCUGUUCUGACGGUACCCAAAGAAUAAGCACCGGCUAACUUCGUG